rnacentral:misc_RNA from 1 species
GUGAAUCAUCAAAUUUUUGAACGCAAAUUGCACUCUCUGGUAUUCCGGAGAGUAUGCCUGUUUGAGGGUCAUUUAAAAUAAAAAGCGGUGUGGUUGCCGCCUUUCGUGGUGACGCACCGGAUUUGUGUCUUCUUGCCUUCGGUUAAGUGACCUAAAAUUUUGCAUGAUUUUUCUCGAACGUAUUGAAAUGAUUUUACGUACGUUUGCGAUAUCGCAUACUAGGUGUGGUCAUCCUCAUGAUUCGCGCCUAUAUUUUUUCAACAAAAUGACCUCAAAUAAGGUAAGGGUACUCGCUGAACGU